CAUAGGAUAUCAUUAACCCAAACUUUGAGCUUGGGUUAAUGAAAUCCUAUGAAUAUUUUAACUGGAAUUGCCUGCAUCUGCAUCCUGCCAGUUCAGUACCACAGCUGAGGGUAUUCUUAUAUGUGUACAGAUCCUAA